UCACCUGGAGACAUUGUUAAAAAGCAGAUUCUGACUUCUUCUGGGUGGCUGAGAUUCUGCAUUCCUAACAAGCUCCCA
rnacentral:miRNA from 1 species